AUUUACGGCCAUACCACCCUGAACAAGCCCGAUCCUGUCUGAUCUUGGAAGCUAAGCAGGGUCGGGCCUGGUUAGUACUUGGAUGGGAGACCACCUAGGAAGACCAGGUGCUGUAGGUG
rnacentral:rRNA from 1 species